GGGGGAAAAUUAAUAAAAUAAAAUUAAUAAAAAAAUUUUUAAUAUUGGGGGGUAUUAAAGUAUUUUUUAAAGAAAAAAUAAAAAAUUUUAUAGUGAAUUAAUAUUGUGAAAGAAUUUUGAAAUAAAGUUGAAAAGGAAAUAAAAAAAAAGUAAAUUUAAUUUAUUGUAUCUUGUGUAUCAGAGUUUAUUAAAAAAUAUUUAAUAAAUUAUAAAAUCUCGAAUUUAAAAGAGUUAAUUAAUUAUAAAAGUUAAUGUUGAAUAAUUAUUUUUAAUAAUUAAUUAGAAAUGAAAUGUUAAUCGUUUUUGAAUAUAUCUGGUUUUUUUAGAAAAAAAUUUAAUUUUAAAUUUAAAAAAUUUUAUAUUUAAUUAAUUAAAUAUAAAAUUUUAAAAUUAAAUAUUUUAAGGGAUAAGCUUUAAUUUAAAUAUUUAUAAUAAAAAUAAAUAUUAAUAAAAUUUUUAAAAUUUAUAUUGUUUAAAAAUUAUAGUUUGUUAAAAAAAAUUUUAUAUUAAAUAAAAUUUAAAAUAUUAUUUAAUUUUUUAUAAAAAAAUAUUUUUUAAUAAUAAAAAAAUAGAAAUAAUGAUAAAAUUAGUAUAUUAUUAAUUAAAAAUAUAAAAUAUAAAUUGAAAUUAAUUUAAAGGAAUUCGGCAAAAAUUUAUAUUCACUUGUUUAUCAAAAACAUGUCUUUUAGAAAAUAAUUUAAAGUCUAAUCUGCCCACUGAUUAAAAAUUAAAGGGCUGCAGUAUAUUGACUGUACAAAGGUAGCAUAAUCAUUAGUCUUUUAAUUGAAGACUUGUAUGAAAGAUUUGAUGAAAUAUAAACUGUCUCUAAAUUAUUAAUAAAAAUUAAUUUUUUAGUUAAAAAGCUAAAAUUUAUUUAAAAGACGAGAAGACCCUAUAGAGUUUUAUAAUAUUAAUAAUUAAAAUUAAAUAUAUAAAUAUAAAUUAAAAUUAAUUAAUAUUAUUUUGUUGGGGUGAUAGAAAAAUUAAAGAAACUUUUUUUUUUAUAAAUCAUAAAUUAGUGAAUAAAUGAUCCAUUUAUAAUGAUUAAAAGAAAAAAUUACCUUAGGGAUAACAGCGUAAUUUUUUUUUUUAGUACAAAUAAAAAAAAAAGGUUGCGACCUCGAUGUUGGAUUAAGAUAAAAAUUAAAUGCAAAAGUUUAAAAAUUUUGAUCUGUUCGAUCAUUAAAAUCUUACAUGAUCUGAGUUCAAACCGGUGUAAGCCAGGUUGGUUUCUAUCUU
rnacentral:rRNA from 1 species